UUAAGCAUAUCAAUAAGCGGAGGAAAAGAAACCAACAGGGAUUACCUCAGUAACGGCGAGUGAAGCGGUAACAGCUCAAAUUUGAAAGCUAGCUCUUUGAGGGUUCGCAUUGUAAUUUGUAGAAGAUGCUUCGGGUGUGGCCCCGGUCUAAGUUCCUUGGAACAGGACGUCAUAGAGGGUGAGAAUCCCGUAUGUGACUGGGUGCUUUCGCUCAUGUGAAGCUCUUUCGACGAGUCGAGUUGUUUGGGAAUGCAGCUCUAAAUGGGUGGUACAUUUCAUCUAAAGCUAAAUAUUGGCCAGAGACCGAUAGCGCACAAGUAGAGUGAUCGAAAGAUGAAAAGCACUUUGGAAAGAGAGUUAAACAGUACGUGAAAUUGUUGAAAGGGAAGCGCUUGCAACCAGACUUGCGCGCUGAUGAUCAUCCGGGCUUCUGCCCGGUGCACUCGUCUGCGCUCAGGCCAGCAUCGGUUUCGGUGGUGGGAUAAAGGCCUUGGGAAUGUAGCUCCUCUCGGGGAGUGUUAUAGCCCUCGGUGCAAUGCCGCCUACCGGGACCGAGGACCGCGCUUCGGCUAGGAUGCUGGCGUAAUGGUUGUAAGCGACCCGUCUUGAAACACGGACCAAGGAGUCUAACAUCUAUGCGAGUGUUUGGGUGUCAAACCCAUACGCGUAAUGAAAGUGAACGGAGGUGAGAACCCUUAAGGGCGCAUCAUCGACCGGUCCUGAUGUCUUCGGAUGGAUCUGAGUAAGAGCAUAGCUGUUGGGACCCGAAAGAUGGUGAACUAUGCGUGAAUAGGGUGAAGCCAGAGGAAACUCUGGUGGAGGCUCGCAGCGGUUCUGACGUGCAAAUCGAUCGUCAAAUUUGCGUAUAGGGGCGAAAGACUAAUCGAACCAUCUAGUAGCUGGUUCCUG
rnacentral:rRNA from 1 species